AAAGUACUUCCUCCGCCGAAAAUACUUGUCGAAGGAACGGAUGUAUCUAGACAUAUCUUAGUUUUAGAUACAUUCAUUUUUAUUCAUUUUUCUGACAAGUAUUUUGGGACGGAGGGAGUAUUAA
rfam:Triticum aestivum genome assembly, contig: Triticum_aestivum_CS42_TGACv1_scaffold_577521_7BL